GGGUUAAUGGCGGGAGAGUUUCUGCUCUCGCCGGUGACGAGCAUCUCCGAUGGAUCACAACUAUCUGCGACGAAUCUUCCGUCACAGAAGAAACAGUGACGACGAAGAAGCAUCUGCUGAUAUGGAGGAUACGAAGCAGAAGCCGAAGCUCGAACGCCGCAACGCACUCAAGAAUAUUGAAUACGAUCCCCUCAAUUCAUCCUCCUCUUCUGUUUCUUCCUCCGAUGGUAUUCCUUCUAAACUUCGAACUCGAUCGCUUGAUAUCAACCCUUUCGACAAGAACACUAGCUUCCGAAUUGAAGGUAUCGAGGGUGAGUUCGACCGGCUCUGUGAGACUUUAGGGCUUUCAGGUCCUGAAGAUUUUGCAAUUCCAGCAGCUGCUUGGGAGGCCAGGAAAGCUCGUUCUUCCUCUGAUAUUUUCCCCAGGUCUCGAUUCAGUAAGAUCGAUGUCCUCACCAAGCCAGAGAAGGAAGAGGAGGGACUUGAAGCUACGGUUAGGGUUAAUGAUGAAGCGGCAGUGUUGGUUGAUCUUAAUACGUUGACGUUGAACGACUCAAAAAAUUGCCGGAAUUCACUUGAUGUGGGCACUUUUGCCACUGCCUCCUGCGGUGUUGAUGGUGGUGGCGCAGCCGGAGCUGGAGGAGGAAUUAAGGGGGCUCGCCCGCCACUGCUCACUCCGCCGCCUUUGAAGAGUAGGUAUGUUGAUGAUAUGUCUUCGGCCUCAACGUGGGAUAUAAUGAGGUCUCUUGCGCCUGAGGAGAGGGGUUCAUCUUCGUGUCCGGUAAGGCUUUUAGAUUCGACCUCAUCUGACAAGGAGGAUGAGCUUGGUUUAGAAGGUGAAGAGUUUAAUGAUGGGGAAAUUGGUGGGAGAGAAAAAGAACAUGAAAAUGGAGCGAGACUUGGGGAGACUGCUGUUAUGUCAGAUUCGCCUAUAUUUUUAACAUCAAACGAUGAGGAUUCUUCGAGUGCAACCACGGAAACGACAUACAAUAUUUCUCCUGAGGGUUGUUUCGGACGAAACAUCACUUCCUGGCAACGAGGCGAUAUCAUUGGAAGUGGGUCGUUUGGGACUGUGUAUGAAGCAUACACCGAUGAUGGAUUCUUUUUUGCUGUAAAAGAGAUUUCUUUGCUUGACCAAAGUCAGCAAAGCAUUCAACAGCUUGAGCAGGAAAUUGCUCUUUUAAGGGAGUUUGAACAUGAGAAUAUUGUCCAAUACCUUGGAACAGACAAGCAUGAAGGAAAACUAUGUAUCUUUCUUGAGCUUGUAACCCGAGGUUCUCUGGUAAAUGUUUAUCGAAAGUAUCAUCUCGGAGAUUCCCAAGUCUCAGCCUACACGAGGCAGAUCCUGAGUGGUUUGAAAUAUCUUCACGAUCGAAACGUUGUUCACAGGGAUAUCAAAUGUGCUAAUAUUUUGGUGCAUACAAGUGGAUCUGUGAAACUUGCAGAUUUUGGGUUAGCAAAGGCAAUCAAAUUAAAUGAUGCGAAAUCCUGCAAAGGCACUGCAUUCUGGAUGGCUCCUGAGGUUGUUAAUCGGAAGAUGCAUGGCUAUGGAAUUGCGGCUGAUAUAUGGAGCCUUGGUUGCACUGUCCUAGAGAUGUUGACACGUGUGCUACCUUACUCUCCUUUAGAACCGGUGCGGAAAUGCAAGCAGUAUUUAGGAUUGGCCAGGGAAAACCGCCCCCAAUUCCUGAUUCCCUAUCAAGAGAUGCUCGGGAUUUCAUCUGCCAAUGCUUACAGGUUAACCCAGAAAAUCGGCCCACUGCUGCUCAGCUCUUGAACCAUUCAUUUGUGCAGCGGCUACUGCCAACUUCAUCAGUGUCAGGAUCUCCUUUGCAUCAUAACAGCAGACGGUCUUGAAGUUUGUCUUCCAUCAAUUUUGGUGACAAAGAUGAGUCCAACUGGGUGAGCAUGCUGCUGAACCCUUGCCCUCCAUGCUGCACGCCAAGGGCCAUUUUAGCCAUGAAUCUAAAGCACCAGAAGGUCAUGCAUUUGGCUGAUGUUUUGUAUAUUCCAUUUUUCCUAGUUGAGAGAUUUUCUGCAUAGGAGGGCGACUUGUAUUUUCGUAGUCCCUUUUUUUUUUCCUAGUGGGGCCAUUGAUUUCUUCAAAUGUUUGUUUAGUGUGCAAUCUUUCUUUU